UAGGGAAUCUUCGGCAAUGGGGGCAACCCUGACCGAGCAACGCCGCGUGAGUGAAGAAGGUUUUCGGAUCGUAAAGCUCUGUUGUAAGAGAAGAACGAGUGUGAGAGUGGAAAGUUCACACUGUGACGGUAACUUACCAGAAAGGGACGGCUAACUACGUGCCAGCAGCCGCGGUAAUACGUAGGUCCCGAGCGUUAUCCGGAUUUAUUGGGCGUAAAGCGAGCGCAGGCGGUUAGAUAAGUCUGAAGUUAAAGGCUGUGGCUUAACCAUAGUACGCUUUGGAAACUGUUUAACUUGAGUGCAGAAGGGGAGAGUGGAAUUCCAUGUGUAGCGGUGAAAUGCGUAGAUAUAUGGAGGAACACCGGUGGCGAAAGCGGCUCUCUGGUCUGUAACUGACGCUGAGGCUCGAAAGCGUGGGGAGCAAACAGGAUUAGAUACCCUGGUAGUCCACGCCGUNNCGAUGAGUGCUAGGUGUUGGGUCCUUUCCGGGACUCAGUGCCGCAGCUAACGCAUUAAGCACUCCGCCUGGGGAGUACGACCGCAAGGNU
rnacentral:rRNA from 1 species